UGGGUCCUGUCCCCUGUCCCUCGCCCCGGGCUGGCACCUGCGGGUGGCAGCGGCUCUGCCGGGACGGUCAUCGCCCGCCCCGUCCCCUGCAGCCUCCUGGGCAGCGGAUCCGUCCUCGCUGUCACCUCCUGGCAGGGGCGCUGCUGCCACAUCCAGGUGAGUGUCACCGGCCUGUGGCAGUGUCCCUGCUGCCACAUCCAGGUGAGUGCCACCGGCCUGUGGCAGUGUCCCUGCUGCCACAUCCAGGUGAGUGUCACCGGCCUGUGGCAGUAUCACUGCUGCCACAUCCAGGUGAGUGCCACCGGCUCCUGGCAAUGCUGCCAUGUCCAGGUGAGUGUCACCAGCUCCCAGGGACACAGGGCUGGGUCUGGCCCCAGCUAAGCCCGAGUCAAAGCCGAGCUAACACCGGGUUUAAAGCCCCGGGCAGGGAGCAGGAGGUGCAGGAUGCCCAACUCGCGGCACUCGCCCCGGCCCCCGGGAGCCGCCUGGCCCAGCCUGGGAAGGGCCGCGGGAGCUGCCGGGGGCUGCUGCCAGCAGAGCUAACGCCGUGCCCUGUCCCCAGCUGCGCCCCCUGUUCCUCCUGGCCCUGGCAGAUUUCCUGGGUGCCACGGCGCUGCUGGGCACGGGAACCAUCCCGCUGCUGCCGGCCCCCCUCUCCGUGCCCGCCUACGCCGCCUGUCCCUACGGGCGGAUGCUGACCACGGUAAGGGGACGCUGCUGGGGACAGCUGGGGCCUGUCUGCGGCUGCAGUGUCCUGGGGACACUGUCCUGGGGUCCCCCCCUCGGGAGGAACCUCUGCCGAGGGUCGGGCUGUGGAGCACGAGGAGGGAAUGGACGGGGGAGUGGGGGGUGUCGGGGGCAGAGGGAAGGUGGAAGGGGCCCUGGCGGCGCUGGACACCGCAGGAUGCCCGCUCCCCUUCCCUCUGCUCUGCCCCUCUCUCCCAGACCUCCUACGCCGUCUCGUUCCUCAUGGUCGCUGUUUACGCGUUCGAGUCGCACCGCACCGUGCUCGGGGGGCGAGCCCGGCCCCCGGCAGCGCUGCAGGUCCGUGCCUCGCCCGGCCACAGCCGGGACAGGACAAGCGAGCAGCGGGGCGAUCCGGGGCAGCCCCUUUCCCCGGGAAUCCGGGAUUUCCCCGGUCCUGGCGGAGCUGCGGCCACCCCUCCAGCCCCGGCUCACGGCGGUUCUCCCGCAGGAGCGGAGCCGCUGCCUGGAGAGCGCCUGGCAGGGAAUUCCGUACGUCCUGGCCUGGCUGGUGCCGGCGCUGACUCUCCUGGCGCAGCUGCUCGCCCGCGGCACCUCCGCCGCCGACAUCGCGCCCGUGGUGCCCUGGGCCGGCUCCAACGACACCUUCAGCCUUUACUGCUCCAGGUACGGCCCCUCCGCCCCCGCCCUGCCCGGGGCAUCGCUGCCGGGACUCCGGGGAGGCUUUGGGACCUCCAGCACCGCUCUGUCCUUGCAGCUGCCUCCUCCUGAUCCACCCGAACCAGGACAUCUGCUCCCAGGUGGGCUCUCAGGUGGGGCUCCGGGGCCGCGGGGGUCGCUGGCCCGGCUCCGCUCAUUUCCCGCUGCCUCCCAGUCCGGCGGGGGCAAGAACGCGGGGCUGGAGGAGAAAAUCAUCUUCCUGCUGUACCUGCUGCUGGUGCUCGGCUGCUGCUCGGUGAGGUCGCGGCUCGGGGGAGGCACUGGGGGUCCCCAGCGCGCCGCUGACCCCCGGACCCCCCCAGCUCCUGUACCGGCGGGUGCGGCUCCGGUGCCGGGGGAACGCGGCGCUGCCGCUGCUGAGCCUGGACAGGGACGGCGGCUUCGGGGGCAGGAGCGGCCGCAGCGUCAGCAAAGCCUCGCUGUACUUCCAGCUGGUUUUCCUGCUCUGCUGGACGCCAGGCAAGGCCAGGGGGGUGUCCCAAAGCCCCCAGCCCCACAGGGUCACAGUGAGGGUGUCCCCAGGGUCACAGUGAGGGUGUCCCCAGCUCCCCCAGCCCCACAGGGUCACAGUGAGGGUGUCCCCAGCCCCUCAGGGUCACAGUGAGGGUGUCCCCAGCUUCCCCAGGGUCACAGUGAGGGUGUCCCCAGCCCCUCAGGGUCACAGUGAGGGUGUCCCCAGCUUCCCCAGGGUCACAGUGAGGGUGUCCCCAGCUCCCCCAGCUUCCCCAGGGUCACAGUGAGGGUGUCCCAGCUCCCCAGGGUCACAGUGAGGGUGUCCCCAGCUCCCCCAGCCCCUCAGGGUCACAGUGAGGGUG
rnacentral:lncRNA from 1 species